rnacentral:SRP_RNA from 1 species
GCCGGGCGUGGUGGUGUGCGCCUGUAAUCCCAGCCACUCAGGAGGCUGAGGCAGGAGAAUCGUUUGAACCCAGGAGGCAGAGGUUGCAGUGAGCAGAUAUUGUGCCUCUGAACUCCAGCCUGGGCAACAGAGCGAGACUUUGUCUCAA